GACUCCGUAGCUCAGUUGGUAGAGCAAUUGACUCUUAAUCAAUGGGUCGUGGGUUCGAGCCCCACCGGGGUCA
rnacentral:tRNA from 2 species